rnacentral:rRNA from 2 species
AUUUGAGAGUUUGAUCCUGGCUCAGGACGAACGCUGGCGGCGUGCCUAAUACAUGCAAGUCGAACGAACUCUGGUAUUGAUUGGUGCUUGCAUCAUGAUUUACAUUUGAGUGAGUGGCGAACUGGUGAGUAACACGUGGGAAACCUGCCCAGAAGCGGGGGAUAACACCUGGAAACAGAUGCUAAUACCGCAUAACAACUUGGACCGCAUGGUCCGAGUUUGAAAGAUGGCUUCGGCUAUCACUUUUGGAUGGUCCCGCGGCGUAUUAGCUAGAUGGUGAGGUAACGGCUCACCAUGGCAAUGAUACGUAGCCGACCUGAGAGGGUAAUCGGCCACAUUGGGACUGAGACACGGCCCAAACUCCUACGGGAGGCAGCAGUAGGGAAUCUUCCACAAUGGACGAAAGUCUGAUGGAGCAACGCCGCGUGAGUGAAGAAGGGUUUCGGCUCGUAAAACUCUGUUGUUAAAGAAGAACAUAUCUGAGAGUAACUGUUCAGGUAUUGACGGUAUUUAACCAGAAAGCCACGGCUAACUACGUGCCAGCAGCCGCGGUAAUACGUAGGUGGCAAGCGUUGUCCGGAUUUAUUGGGCGUAAAGCGAGCGCAGGCGGUUUUUUAAGUCUGAUGUGAAAGCCUUCGGCUCAACCGAAGAAGUGCAUCGGAAACUGGGAAACUUGAGUGCAGAAGAGGACAGUGGAACUCCAUGUGUAGCGGUGAAAUGCGUAGAUAUAUGGAAGAACACCAGUGGCGAAGGCGGCUGUCUGGUCUGUAACUGACGCUGAGGCUCGAAAGUAUGGGUAGCAAACAGGAUUAGAUACCCUGGUAGUCCAUACCGUAAACGAUGAAUGCUAAGUGUUGGAGGGUUUCCGCCCUUCAGUGCUGCAGCUAACGCAUUAAGCAUUCCGCCUGGGGAGUACGGCCGCAAGGCUGAAACUCAAAGGAAUUGACGGGGGCCCGCACAAGCGGUGGAGCAUGUGGUUUAAUUCGAAGCUACGCGAAGAACCUUACCAGGUCUUGACAUACUAUGCAAAUCUAAGAGAUUAGACGUUCCCUUCGGGGACAUGGAUACAGGUGGUGCAUGGUUGUCGUCAGCUCGUGUCGUGAGAUGUUGGGUUAAGUCCCGCAACGAGCGCAACCCUUAUUAUCAGUUGCCAGCAUUAAGUUGGGCACUCUGGUGAGACUGCCGGUGACAAACCGGAGGAAGGUGGGGAUGACGUCAAAUCAUCAUGCCCCUUAUGACCUGGGCUACACACGUGCUACAAUGGAUGGUACAACGAGUUGCGAACUCGCGAGAGUAAGCUAAUCUCUUAAAGCCAUUCUCAGUUCGGAUUGUAGGCUGCAACUCGCCUACAUGAAGUCGGAAUCGCUAGUAAUCGCGGAUCAGCAUGCCGCGGUGAAUACGUUCCCGGGCCUUGUACACACCGCCCGUCACACCAUGAGAGUUUGUAACACCCAAAGUCGGUGGGGUAACCUUUUAGGAACCAGCCGCCUAAGGUGGGACAGAUGAUUAGGGUGAAGUCGUAACAAGGUAGCCGUAGGAGAACCUGCGGCUGGAUCACCUCCUUU